UUAGGGGGCUCGUGUUUUUGUUUUUGGUCGUGUAAAAAAAAGUCCCAUUUACUUGUAGUUCUGUGAUGUGGGUGGUGGGUCUCCUUUUGGAUCUACGUGCUUUGUAUCAGAGUGGAGAUUUAUGUGCUUUGUAUCAGAGUGGAGAUUUAUGCGCAAACUCAGUUUCCAAACACAAAGAGACCUCUAGUUUGCGGUUGUUAAUUUCUAAAAGGAGUCAGUUAACAUUGUUUGAUUGACAAAGGAAGUUAAAUUCAAAAAGAUAACCAGUCCUAACCUCCAGUUAAAUUCCAUUUAUUUCUGGUCACAUUUUCUAUUCAUUCAGGUGUUCCUUAAAAAUCUAAUCUAAUAUUUCGUCAUGAGCAUCAUGGGACACUUAUUAAUAGCAGAGUUAAUACAGAAAGAUAGACUGUCGUAAGUAGGAUUUUCUUUGUCCACACCAUCUAAGUGGACUUAUCCUGGACAGUUCUGCCAACAACAAGAGUUCUACAGUUACUAUUAGUUAUAUUGUUGGUCUAGAAGCUUCGGUGCGCAAACUGAUGUGAAGCAAGGCAGCCGUGAUCUCCAUUCUUCUGAAACUCAGGCCUAUUAUUGUUGUCUUCAAACCGUUGGGUUGAGGGGGGGCAUUAUUAAGACAUGGGUCGACAUUUGGGUAAACUUCAUAUCUGGCAGAAGUGGCAGAGACAUUGAUGAGGGAGGGAACUGAUUGGCAUUAAUUGUUAAGGUGGUAGUGGUUUUGAUUAGUCAUAUAUACAUGCUUACCUGAUUAGUCUUCGUGGUCCCGGCGAUGGUCGUGAUGUCAAGGAUGCUAUGUCGACGCUUCUGCCUCUCGUUCGACUGGCGACUGAAGUACUUCUGUGCAUGGCUAGCGACUUGGGUUGGUGUCCUCGUGCGCACAAAGUUUUUCGCUAUAUGCUUCCAGGCUCCUCUCCCAUGAACUUCUAGGCCCAUCAAGAAUAGCCUGGAAGAGAGGAAAACGCAUUUUCGGAAUAAUGAUGCUGAGAGAACACGUACAAGUGGAUUGGGAAAGGAAAUAAGAAAGCCUACUGAUAUUUUGACAAAUAAAAAAUUCUGCAUGAGACAUGCUGAAUUUUCCAAUCACGAUAAUCUAUGCAAGAUUCACAAUGCGAGACCAGCCGAGCAAAACGUGCGAGUCCAAGCUGAUGCUGAAACUGUGAGCGGCUAAGCCUCGUCUCAUGAAGAAGAUUCACGUUACAGAUUUGAGGUGCUGAUUGGUUCACCCACUGUUCUUCAAUUCUAGGGCUCUUGUUUUGGUGUAAAAGUUCAGUUUGGCUGUCGCGUUCGCUUUACAUUUGAGCAGCUGUAGUCUCUUGCUUUCCGUUCUGAAACGAAGGUGGACCCAGUGGGAUUUAAUGUCUUCCGUCUAAGUGGACGCAUCCUGGGACACUUCGGUGAUGACAAGAGUUCUGCCAGUUAUAUUGUUGGUCUAGGCUUCUGUAUCCGACCUGAUGUCGGGCAGAGGCGGCAAAGGCAUAGAUGACGGACUGGACCGCUUGGCAUUGUUAAGGUUGACCUGGCUACUGCUCUUGAUUGAGUCAUACAUGC